UACGUAGGGGGCAAGCGUUAUCCGGAUUUACUGGGUGUAAAGGGAGCGUAGACGGCACUGCAAGUCCGGAGUGAAAGCCCAAGGCUUAACCAUGGGACUGCUCUGGAAACUGUGGGGCUUGAGUGCGGGAGGGGCAGGCGGAAUUCCUAGUGUAGCGGUGAAAUGCGUAGAUAUUAGGAGGAACACCAGUGGCGAAGGCGGCCUGCUGGACUGUAACUGACGUUGAGGCUCGAAAGCGUGGGGAGCAA
rnacentral:rRNA from 1 species